GUCCCCUGAAAAAGAACAAACAAAUGCAUUCUGGGGAAAGAACAAUGUCAUAGAGGGUGCUACAAGAAGCAGACCCAUUGGGCCUGCUCAUAUUUCCUUUUCAAAAACUAGUCUGGGUUAUAAAGAAGAAACAAUUAUGGGACCACUCUAUGCAGACUGACUGGGGGACAUGGACUGUGGCAUGACAGCCCAGAAGAGCAAGAAGGAUGCCUUCACCUGGGAUGCCUCUCUAGGUGUUGGCCACUUGGCAGAUACCUUGACUCCUGGGCAGCCCACCUAUUAACUCCCUGGCCCAGAAUAGAGAUAAAGAAGCCUAAUGCUUGGGCUCCAUAUGGCCCAGAAAGCUUUUUUCAGAGAAACCUAAUCUUUUAGCCCAAAAGUAUACCUUUAUCAGCCAGUGUCAGGGAAUAGAGAAAAGCUGGCUCUCCCUUGACUCACCUGGUAUAUUCUCCCCUCUCCCCUUUGCCUUCCUGUUCCUCAAGGUGCAUUUGAAACCUCAUCUCCUUUAGGGUAUCGACUCACUUAAAUCUGAUCACCACCACAGAGAGAAAGUAGACGAUGCAGCUGGGAUUAGGAUCAGGCUGUCCGGUACCAGAGCAUUUCUGCUUGACUACUACUUUGCUUCAUGACACUCCAUCUGGCGGAAGGAAGAUGUACAUAUGCAAACCAGGAAGAGAAUUCUCACCAGAACUCGACCUUGCUGGCAUCCUGAUCUCGGACUCUCCAGCCUCCAGAACUCUCCAGGAAGUCUUGGCUGACGAACUGCAGCUGCCUGGGGCUCACACAGCUCUCGUGACAUCCACAGCACAACUCGUGCCACACCACAUUGUUACUGUCC
rnacentral:lncRNA from 1 species